CGUGGCCCUCAUGGCGUGGUGAUGAAGUGCCUGAAAUUGGCUGCCCUACCACCCUCUCUUGUCUCCCCCAGCACCUGAAGACCCUCGCUUGAAGUUCACAGGCACUGAAUGCCGAACGUUGCCUUGUCCUGAAAACUGUACGUGUUUGAACAUGGUGUGAAACCUUCCGCAAGCUCUGUACGUUGAUGUCCUUAGAGACAUGUGAGUACUUUGGCUGAUCCUAUCAGAGGAAGGAGGAACCAGGACAAGACAAGUGAGUCAAGAUAAUGCAUCCCGUGGCUACGCUGGCUUGAAAAAGACAAGGUUUGCUAUGCCAACCUCAGAAAUUAUCCUCCACCCCCAAAAAAAGGAGGGAGCAUGAAGAUAUUUUUUUAAAGCAUUGUCCUGAUGAUGCCGUGCCCCGGGUCAUGGGUCUCCAAAGGGAGGAGCUGCUUUAUGCAUGACAAUUCAGCUGGACCUGAUGUUGGCGGCAGGGACUGGGCGUAGGAGGAUGGUGUGGCUGGGUCAAAGUGAGGCAGAGCAGAUCCUGCCCUGAUGAGUGUGCACAACCCUCUGACCACAACACAUCCCGAGAAAGCUGCCUGUGGAUGGAGGAAACAGCAGGAGAAAAGCCAUCAGUUUGGCAGGUGUGUGCGUCUGCCAGUGAAUGGAUGUUUUCACAGUGCUCUUGGUUGUGGAGUUACUUAGCCAGCUACAAGAUCCACUGACCAUCUCGGAUAUCCCUUUUCAGUAGAUCUGGCUCUUAUCUGACCUGAUGCAGAUCACCGUACCAUCACAGAGACCAGAGAAACUCCCCCAAGUUUUCACUGGUGAAGCGGUGUAAAAGUCUAGUCUCCGUAAACCUAGUCUUGACACUGGUUGUUUGGAGAUGCAUGAAGGAGGCAAUCGUAACCCGCUUGGAGUCAAAGCGACAGCAGCUGCUAGAGCUCUCCCGCAGGACCACUGGCAGCAGAGCGGGCGCUCAGAGCUGCUGCCGUAGCUGACAUCUGGACUGCAGGUGUGGGGCCAGCAGUGGGCCUGGCAGCCACCGCCCUCUUUGGGCCCAAGGUAAAAUGAUACUAAUCACUUUGGUGGAGCUUUGCCUAACGUGGUUAUAAUAUCAGCAGAGCGCUGGAAACGUCUCUCAACUUGUGUGGAGAGCUUCACUCCAUACCUGAAGGGAAGGAAGAGAAGGGGAAACACUGACUAGACCCUUUUCCAGCCUGUUUUCUUUGAGGGAACGACAUUUUUAAUGCCAGACAAAUGGUAAUGACCAACAGGACAAGGUGGUGCUGGAGGCAUGCAAUGCUGCACAGUGUCAGCAGAACCCGAGCUCAUGGAGGUCUCCUCCUGAUCAGAGCGCCGCUGACCACCAGGCAUGUCCCACGGCAACGAAAUCCAGCGUUGCCGCUCAGCGGGUUCCAGGGCAGGUGGAAUGGAAGACGUCAGCAGCAGGGUGCUUGCCUCCCGACGCAGCAUCUACGGUGGAACGUCGGAGGUGGUGUUUAUCACCUGCCAAGGAAAACGGUGUCUUUUGGAGGAGGGUAACUCGUUGGCAAAUCCCACGUAGCCCCAAAGGCAAAAAAAGACACUUUUCUUCAUUCCUGGGAGAGGCAAGAAAUGAUUUUGGUGACGUCUGCUGCAGGGGCGCCCAGUGGCUGCGAAGCUGCCCCCUCGAGGUGCUGCGCCUGCCGACCGCAGGGAAACAACGCCGAGGUUGUCCAGAAGGAAAUGCCCCUCUCCAGGACCUAAUGCAACCCCGGCGCCAUUUGUGAGAGUUGCUCUGGGAGAAACGCUACGCUGGGGCUGCCGAGGAAUUUUACCAGCGUGACAUUACUAAGGAAGUUUUGAGCAGAACUGUUGUUUUGGAACAAUCAUUGCGGGUUAACGUGAGCGUGUUGAAGGCAGAAGCAGCAAUCAUGGUGUAGCGGUUAGACGUGAACUACUGCCAACAUUCAAGCUGAGUGCUGCAAGAAAUACCAGGGGUCAUGGAACAAGGACAUGUCCUGGAGGAAUUGCUCUUUUUAUCCCCAAUGAAGAUGGUGAAGAAGUUAGGAAAAAUGCCGGUCACGAUUGGUUUGCUGUUAUGUGGAGCAGAUGCAGCCCACAUCCUACAACUGCUAUGAGAGAUGAGAUCGAAGUGAGUUUGACUCUUCCGCACUUUGUCAAAAGCCUGCAGGUAACUUGGCCUUGCGAUGUCUGAACAUCAUACGUAUUUCUUUUAAAACACCUCCAUACAUGUCACUGUCAUUUAUCUUAUUCUGUAUUUAACCAAACAUGUUUUCCUCCUUGAGAUUUUCUCCGGUUCUGGUCACUGUACUUUUUUUCGCUUUGUCCAUAAAAGCUACUCACUCAAUCUCUAUGGCUUGCUUGCUUGCAGGGUUUGCUUAUGAAUUGAAUAUUGUCAUGUUCCCAGGAGCUGCCACGAGUGCAGCAUGAGGGCACACCUCUUGCGCUGCCGUUGCACCAGCACUCCGGUUCCCCGGGUUUCUCGGUGUGCGAGUCACAGCGGACAGUUCGGCCAAGCCGUGAAGUUACCUGUGCCGGCGCUCUGACGGAAACACCCACUGCUCUCCUGUGCUGGAAAUCCCCUUGUCAGACUUGGUUACCCACGGCCCUUCUCCCCGUACAUCAUCACGGUUUUGCAGCCUCUUGUGCUUCAAGGGAUCUCUCACCACAAACACAAUUGACUUUCCUUACUGAAAAUUGAGCCACGGCAGAUUUCUUACGUGAUCAAUUCUGUUCACCCACAAGACAUGGCCGGCCCUUUUCCUCAGACCCCGAUCAAUGCCUUCUCCCUUUGACUCGCUUCUACUUUCUACCUCACACUAAUUUAUUUCUGCAGCCAGAUCCCCAGGUCAUUCCUUGCCCUAUUCAAAGAGAUCAGAUGCUUUCCCAUGCCAGAAGCUCACCCUGCUCCGGCACUCUUGGCUUGGUUCAGCCUGUUCCCAUCUCCAUCAGACUCUUGCCGAGCCCCAGCUCUUGGUGGGUUCUGUCCUCCCCGAAUCUCCUUCCAGCCUUCCCAGGCAGGCGGGCAGGUGCUGGGGGUUCCCAGGCGCGGGGCUGCGCCGGCUGCGAUGCGGGUCCCUGCCUGGCUCUGCCCACCCUGCCGGGAAGUGACCACAGCGACUCCUGAGCAGUCGCAUUAAACUGUACUCGGUGAAGUCAGAACUCGGUCUUGGAAUCGAAGGUAACCCCUGGUUCCUUUCCGUUUGGUACCACAGAGGAUGCACAUGCAUGAUCAGGAUCCGCACCAAGGACUGAUAACGUAAGGUUUUAUUUAUUCACGUGCUGUAAAUUAUUAUUAGAAUAUUAACAAGCAGCUGUAAAUAUCGGCUCACCCAGUCUGAUCCUUGCUGUAUGCUCUUGUAGGGCGGCAGAGGAAGGGAAACGUCUGCAGGAGCGCUGCUGGUUCUGGAUGGGUGUAAUGUGGCGAGGAGUGGGGCACCCUGGAGUGGCCGGCAGCCCCCGUCCCCGCCUGGCUGCCCCUGCGUCGGGAAGCUGUCCUCGGACCCGCGCACUGAGCCUCCGCUUUCACGGCGUGGCUGGGAGGUGGCAGGUGCCCUCGGGGAAAGGGGAAGUGCGAGGCCACGUCGCGGUGAGAGGGGACUCGUGCCGGCCGGCGUGGAGGAGGCCGUGGGGGAAGGGGAUGGAGCCGCUCACUUCAGCCGGUGUUGGCGCGCGCAUUCACGUUUGUACAUGUGUGCCUGCCUAUUUAAUGGGAAAUUUAGCAAGAAACAACGGAGCUUCUCUAAAUUAUAGGAAAAUAACUCCGUGUGGUAAUUCACCCUGUCAGACCAUCAUCAUCUGCUUGAAUCAGAUUCAGGAUUCUGUAUCUGCAUCUGUCAACAAUGUGCAUUUUUUUUUCCUCUUCUGUGCUUAGCUGGGUACCUGAAGCCACCUAUUCUGAGUCAGUCGCAUGAAAAGAGGAGCAUUAUAUCUUUUAUAAAAAGUGAGAAUCAUUUACCUCUCGUUAUGGCAUUCUUCAGUUCUGGUAAACCGUUCACCCUUUGUUUUCGUUCUGUGCCCUGUUCUGAGUCGUAGUGGGAUGUUUGUUAGACUCCUGAGGUGUAAAUGAAUCACUGCCCUUAAUGCAACCCUUCCCUUUAGUAUUUUUUUAUUUACAAAUAUAUGGGUUUAUAUAUGU